AAAGGUGUGCCGCAGCAAUGCGGUCUCAGCAAAGAGUCCCUCCCGACUGUUUACCAAAAACACAGCACUUUGCCAACUCGUAAGAGGAAGUAUAAGGUGUGACGCCUGCCCGGUGCUCGAAGGUUAAGAGGAUGCGUCAGUCGCAAGAUGAAGCGUUGAAUUGAAGCCCGAGUAAACGGCGGCCGUAACUAUAACGGUCCUAAGGUAGCGAAAUUCCUUGUCGGUUAAAUACCGACCUGCAUGAAUGGCGUAACGAGAUGGGAGCUGUCUCAACCAGAGAUUCAGUGAAAUUGUAGUGGAGGUGAAAAUUCCUCCUACCCGCGGCAAGACGGAAAGACCCCGUGGACCUUUACUACAACUUAGCACUGCUAAUGGGAAUACAUGCGCAGGAUAGGUGGGAGGCUUUGAAGUAAGGGCUUUGGCUCUUAUGGAGCCAUCCUUGAGAUACCACCCUUGAUGUUUCUGUUAGCUAACUGGCCUGUGUUAUCCACAGGCAGGACAAUGCUUGGUGGGUAGUU
rnacentral:rRNA from 1 species